GUCACACACCACUUCAUCCGGUCCCAAUCGUACAGCUGUGCCGGUUGUGUAGCUCACGGAAGCUGCUUUUCGGAAGAUAGUCGUUUCGGGGAAAUGAAAGUACAAUCUAUCGACCGCGAUGGAAGCAUUCGAUGUUUGAAUACUUCCGCAGCGUUAAUAUCACACCCAGAACAUCAUUACAUAUUAGAAGCCGCUUUACGAUGGGUUUAACCUCAACAUCGAACAAGAAGGACUGAGAUCCAGGGGGAGCUCUAGACACAUGCACGUCGUAGGAGGUAGCGUCUGUUUGGUGUUGGAUGCACGUAUAGAAAAUGCGUCCUUAAGUAUGUAACAGUAUUGUUUCCUGAGAGCUUGUUCCGAACCUGUGGAAUGCCUGCAGCCGAAUGUUAGCAUUAAAAUUCUCUCAAUUCGUAAAGACACAAUAAAACCACGUUGUAACAUGUAA